rnacentral:rRNA from 1 species
GACGAACGCUGGCGGCGUGCUUAACACAUGCAAGUCGAACGGAGCUGUUUAUUUCGGUAGAUAGCUUAGUGGCAAACGGGUGAGUAACGCGUAGGCACCUGCCCUUAGGAUGGGGACAACGGCCCGAAAGGACCGCUAAUACCGAAUGCACUCUACUUCCGCAUGGAAGAAAGAGGAAAGAUGGUGCAAGCCAUCGCCGAAGGAAGGGCCUGCGUCUGAUUAGCCAGUUGGUGAGGUAACGGCUCACCAAAGCAACGAUCAGUAGCCGGUCUGAGAGGAUGAACGGCCACAAUGGGACUGAGACACGGCCCAUACUCCUACGGGAGGCAGCAGUGGGGAAUCUUCCGCAAUGGGCGAAAGCCUGACGGAGCAACGCCGCGUGAGUGAAGAAGGUCUUCGGAUCGUAAAGCUCUGUUGUUGGGGACGAAAGGAAAAGGGAGGAAAUGCCCUUUUUAAGACGGUACCCGACGAGCAAGCCACGGCU